GAAGCGGCAACAGCUCAAAUUUGAAAUCUGACCCUUUGGGGUCCGAGUUGUAAUUUGCAGAGGGUGUUUCGGGCACGGUGCCGGUUUAAGUCCUUUGGAACAGGGUGUCAUAGAGGGUGAGAACCCCGUAUGUGACCGGUCGCCAAACCUAUGUGAAACCCCUUCGACGAGUCGAGUUGUUUGGGAAUGCAGCUCAAAAUGGGUGGUAAAUUUCAUCUAAAGCUAAAUAUUGGCCAGAGACCGAUAGCGCACAAGUAGAGUGAUCGAAAGAUGAAAAGCACUUUGGAAAGAGAGUCAAACAGCACGUGAAAUUGUUGAAAGGGAAGCGCUUGCGACCAGACUUGCUCGCGGGUGAUCAGCGGUGCUUUUCGCGCCGUGCACUCAUCCGCGAUCAGGCCAGCAUCGGUUCAGGCGGCCGGACAAAGACUCGGAGAAUGUAGCUCCCUCCGGGGAGUGUUAUAUCUCCUUGUGCAAUACGACCAGCCGGGACCGAGGACCGCGCU
rnacentral:rRNA from 1 species